ACUAAUUAGUUAAGAAAUGAAGUUGAAUUUAAGUUGCUAUUAGUUCUAUGGUGAUGAUAAAUAAUUUGUUUGUGGGAUGAUAAAUGUGCAGUUUCUUAUUUAGAUUCUGUAGACUAUUUUGCUGUAGUUUCUUAUUUAAUAAUUUGUUUGUGGGAUUAUGUUAAAAGAUCAUGCUGGAAAAUAUGCGACUGGAAAUGAAGUUUCCAUGGCAGAUCUGUUUCUAGCACCACAUAUUCUGGCUGGGAUUGAACGAUUUAAUGUUGACAUGGAACUUUCAUUGUCUUAAAUGGAAGGAAACAAGAAGAGCCUGGUUGAUGCUGUUGAGAAAGGGAUUGAUCUACGCAAACAAAUACUAGAACUAUAUAAUGAUUAUUACCAUGGCAGACUGAUGAAGCUAGUGGUAAUUGGUGGUGAGUCUUUGGAUGUACUUCAGCACUAGGUUGUUGAAUUAUUUUCUGACGUCAGACAAGGUUCUCAAGGAAAGCCAGAGUUUAAGGUGGAAGUUCCUGUCUGGAAAGCUGGUAAACUUUACAGGUUAGAGGCAGUUAAGGAUGUCUAUAUCCUUGAAUUAAGGUGGGCACUGCCUUGUCUUUUGCAAGCGUAUCUGAAGAAACCAGAAGAUUAUCUGGCUCAUCUUCUUGGCCAUGGGUCACAACGUUAUACUUAUAUCAAAUCAUCAGACUGAAGCUGACCCAAUCAUCAUCUCAUUGUUGCUUGAGAAAGCAAAUCUGCAUAUUGCUGAGAACAUGGUGAUUCUCUCUUGAAUUAAUUUAUCAUUCUGAGCCUGCUGUAGUAGCCUUCAUCUAUGCCCUUAAGGCCUUGACUGUACUUGGGUUCUGUGGUUGCAAUAGUUGUUGGGAUGGUACAUAGCAUGG